rnacentral:lncRNA from 1 species
AGAAACAAUAUUGUGUGUGUGUGUGUGCGUGCGUGUGUGUGUGUGUGUGUGUGAUGGUGGUGCUGGAGAUAGUGGUGGUGGAGUAGGCAGAAAGAUGGCUUCAUGCUCAGAACCUGUAUAUAAAUUGUUACCAGGUGAAGGUGUCUUAACAGCCAAUCAGUUUCCUCUAAAACUGCGCAUGCCGAGAUUAUCCAGGUGGGCUCCAUAUAAUCACAAGCAUCCUUAAAAGAAGCCGCAAGAGGCAAAAUAGCGUUAAAGUGAUGUUAUUUGAGGAAGAGUUGACAGUUUAGAACACUGCUGCCUUUGAAGAUAGAGUGGGGCCAUGAACCAAGGAAUUCUGGCUGUUUCUUGAAUCUGGAAAAAAGCAAGAAAAUGGAUUUCCCUUUAGGAAAAGGAAAGGCCUGCAUGAGACUUCAGAGCUACAGGACUGCAAGACAGCUUUUGAAAAUUCUGGGAUGACUCCUAGAUGCAGGUGAAGGUACCCACAGAGCCUUUAUUGUUUGCUGCCUCUUUAGCAGCUUUCUAGGAUCUCUGUUGAAGGCAAUGCAUGUAAAACCCCUCACUGAAGUGUGAAUGAUUGGAGGAGGAAAGCUUGUAAAGGAGAGCUUCUCUGGGAACCACCAUGUAAUUAUGUCACAGAAUGAGUACGCUGUCUGUGGUACAGAUCACAUCCUGCAUCUGAGGCUGACAGGUAAGCCUCUGAUUAUUCUUAUGUAUUCAACUUGAAACCACAAUUGCAGGCUAGUGUGCCUGGGUAGACUGGGACUUGAGAUGACCGCUAUUUAGUGAAUACCUAUUACGUGUCAGGCCCUGUUAGGUGGUUUAAAAUGUUUCUAAUUAGCCUUAAACAUUUAGUGUUAUCUUUCUAGUAUGUAUGCAAGAAAAUUAAAACUCAGAAAGGUUAAAUAGUUUACUAAGAAUACAUGGCUAUUAAAUGACAAUCUGGGAUUUCAUCCCUAAAUCUAUGGUAUUUCUACUACAACUUACUGUGCACAGAGGUGAUUAAUAGAAUGAAAGAAUCACUGAGGAUGGAACAGGUGGAAAUGGCCUUAUUUCAUGCUCCAAAUAUUAUGGCAUUCAGUUUUGGUAACUCAAUAACAGGGCAGUCAUUCCUUUCAUUACUAUCAACUCUUAUAAUAUUACUACUGGAUUUCUGGCUUGUGUGACAGACAGGAAAACAUAUUUUGGGAAAAACAGUUCAUUUGAUUUAAGUAUGUUUGAAUAUGCUUAAAUGAUGGCAUUCAUAAGAUAUCCAGUUCACAUUUUUUAAUUCAGUGGAAAGGAAAUUCUUCAAGGAAGCAACAGCCCAUGUACACUGAGGGGGCAGUGCCUUUUGACUGUACUCUAUGUAAACACAGAAAUACUAUGUGGCCCUUUUCAUGUCCUUUGAGUAUCAGAAUGAAUCACUGUAAAGGGACAAACUUAAUCAUUUUUCAAAGCUGCCAGCUGGAAUCUUAACUGGAAAUUCUGCAGGAUGACAAUGCCUAUUAAUGCUUUCAGUUGUUUUUAUGAG